AAGGUAACGGCUUACCAAGGCAACGAUGCAUAGCCGACCUGAGAGGGUGAUCGGCCACACUGGAACUGAGACACGGUCCAGACUCCUACGGGAGGCAGCAGUAGGGAAUCUUCCGCAAUGGGCGAAAGCCUGACGGAGCAACGCCGCGUGAGUGAUGAAGGUCUUCGGAUCGUAAAACUCUGUUAUUAGGGAAGAACAUAUGUGUAAGUAACUGUGCACAUCUUGACGGUACCUAAUCAGAAAGCCACGGCUAACUACGUGCCAGCAGCCGCGGUAAUACGUAGGUGGCAAGCGUUAUCCGGAAUUAUUGGGCGUAAAGCGCGCGUAGGCGGUUUUUUAAGUCUGAUGUGAAAGCCCACGGCUCAACCGUGGAGGGUCAUUGGAAACUGGAAAACUUGAGUGCAGAAGAGGAAAGUGGAAUUCCAUGUGUAGCGGUGAAAUGCGCAGAGAUAUGGAGGAACACCAGUGGCGAAGGCGACUUUCUGGUCUGUAACUGACGCUGAUGUGCGAAAGCGUGGGGAUCAAACAGGAUUAGAUACCCUGGUAGUCCACGCCGUAAACGAUGAGU
rnacentral:rRNA from 1 species